GUGCUCCCUUGGCAGCACAACCCGAGGAAAGGCCAGGUCAAAGUGCCUGCUGUCACCUGUGGUUUCAGUACGCAUCUGCAGCCCACAUGGCAGAAAGGAGCUGCAGGUUUGACCUGCGGGUUUGACUGCAGGCACACGCAUUGUGCCUGGUGCUUCCCUUCAAACAACAAGCUCUUGGGCAGCCCUGGGAGACCAUCAGGGAGAAAAGAACGGACUUCACCCUGCCCCAAAGCCCCUUCUCUAACAGGCGAGGAUGAGGCACUCAGAGCAGCCAGCUGCUUGCCCCGACCGCCCUUACAGCUCGCGGGGUCCCACCAGCAGCAGUGCUCCUUACACCCAAACUUCGCUGGGUCCCACCGGCAGCAGUGCUCCUUACACCCAAACUUCGCGGGGUCCCACCAGCAGCAGUGCUCCUUACACCCAAACUUCGCUGGGUCCCACCAGCAGCAGUGCUCCUUACACCCACACUGGCUGUUUGCAACAGCGGGGAACAGACCUCAGGGGAGAGCUGGGACAGCCCGCAAGGGCCAAACGCACACCACGUCUGUAACGCAAGGGGAAGCGGCACUGAGCUGCUGUGACUACAGCAGCAGAAGGCAGAGCAAAUCUAAGCUAGACAGCAUCUUACAGAAAGCCUCCUUCCAGGUUGUUUCUCCUUUACACAGGAGCUGGUUUGGCUCAGGAACACCUGACAUAACUUCUUACACAUGCAAAGAGCUCCUGGAAUCAAUUCUGACUCCAGCUCUUACAGAUUGUGGCCUCAUGAAGAUCAAAAGUUGGGAAAAAGCAAAACCAACAAAAAAAAUCUACCUGAGAAACGCUUCAGAGCAGGAGACACCACGGUUCUUACGUUCCUCGUUAGAACCUGCACACGCAGCAGUGCUCGGCAGGCAGCAGCUCUGCACAGCUCACGCUGACACAGGCAGCCCCGGGCAGGGGAGGGGACAGCACAGCUCGCUGCUGGCACAGCUCUGCCCCGUGCCCUUCCCACCAGAGCCCACCCACACAGGGACUCCUGCUCCCACCAGGCCACCCAAACCACUACCCCCAGCUGAGCCCCCAGAGCUCAAUUAA
rnacentral:lncRNA from 1 species